CCUACGGGAGGCAGCAGUGGGGAAUAUUGCGCAAUGGGCGAAAGCCUGACGCAGCGACGCCGCGUGAGGGAUGAAGGUCUUCGGAUCGUAAACCUCUGUCAGCAGGGAAGAACGGUCACUGUGCUAAUCAGCAGCGAAUUGACGGUACCUGCAAAGGAAGCACCGGCUAACUCCGUGCCAGCAGCCGCGGUAAUACGUAGGGUGCGAGCGUUAACCGGAAUUACUGGGCGUAAAGCGCUCGUAGGCGGUAUGUUAAGUCUAGGGUGAAAACCCCGGGCUCAACGUGGGGACUGCCUUGGAGACUAGCAAACUGGAGUGUGUGAGAGGAUAGUGGAAGUCCAGGUGUAGGAGUGAAAUCCGUAGAUAUCUGGAGGAACAUCAGUGGCGAAGGCGACUAUCUGGCACAUAACUGACGCUGAGGAGCGAAAGCGUGGGUAGCAAACAGGAUUAGAUACCCCAGUAGUC
rnacentral:rRNA from 1 species